CCCCUAUUGCCCCCUCCCCCCUGCCUUGUGAAGCUUGUUAACCCUAUGUGUGCCUCCCCCAGCCUUACCGAGCUAUCAGCAUUGCCUCACUCCUUGUCACCCGCCCUGCACCCACCCCAGCUCUACCCCUCCAACUGGACACCUAACCAUAGAGCCUCCGCUAACCAUAGAGUUCAGACCUACAACAACUUCCUGUAAGCGGGAAACCAUAGAGCCC